AACGAACGCUGGCGGCAUGCCUAACACAUGCAAGUCGAACGAAGCCUUCGGGCUUAGUGGCGCACGGGUGCGUAACGCGUGGGAAUCUGCCCUUGGGUUCGGAAUAACAGUUAGAAAUAGACUGCUAAUAACCGAAUGAUGUCUUCGGACCAAAGAAUUUAUUCGCCCAAGGAUGAGCCCGCGUCGGAUUAGCUAGUUGGUGAGGUAAAGGCUCACCAAGGCGACGAUCCGUAGCUGGUCUGAGAGGAUGAUCAGCCACACUGGGACUGAGACACGGCCCAGACUCCUACGGGAGGGCAGCAGU
rnacentral:rRNA from 1 species